GCAAGUCGAACGGUAACAGGAAUUAGCUUGCUAGAAGAUGACGAGUGGCGGACGGGUGAGUAAUGCUUGGGAAUUUGCCUUUAGGUGGGGGACAACAGUUGGAAACGACUGCUAAUACCGCAUAAUAGCUACGGCUUAAAGGGGGCUUCGGCUCUCGCCUUUAGAGAAGCCCAAGUGGGAUUAGAUAGUUGGUGAGGUAAAGGCUCACCAAGUCAACGAUCCCUAGCUGGUCUGAGAGGAUGAUC
rnacentral:rRNA from 1 species